rnacentral:rRNA from 1 species
UACGUAGGAGGCGAGCGUUGUCCGGAUUUACUGGGCGUAAAGCGCGCGCAGGCGGCACCUCAAGUAAGGUGUGAAAUCUCCCUGCUCAACGGGGAGGGUGCACUUUAGACUGGGGAGCUAGAGGACGGUAGAGGGGGGUGGAAUUGCUGGUGUAGCGGUGAAAUGCGUAGAGAUCGGGAGGAACACCGGUGGCGAAGGCGGUUCUCUGGGCGAUUACC